rnacentral:rRNA from 1 species
UACGUAGGGGGCAAGCGUUGUCCGGAAUUAUUGGGCGUAAAGAGCGCGUAGGCGGUCCGGUAAGUCGGCUGUGAAAGUCAAGGGCUCAACCCUUGAAAGCCGGCCGAUACUGUCGGACUAGAGUGCGGUAGAGGUCUCGGGAAUUCCAGGUGUAGCGGUGAAAUGCGUAGAUAUCUGGAGGAACACCGGUGGCGAAAGCGCGAGACUGGGCCGUAACUGACGCUGAGGAACGAAAGCCAGGGGAGCGAAAGGG